GGAUUUCUGUCGUGGUCAUCCGGCUCCGCCUGUAUGGGUGUGCGCCUGGUUUGCCCUCGGCUUUCUUCCGGUAGUCUGCCGCGCUUCACUGCGUGUGUGGGGGUUCCGGAACUUUUACUUUGAGAAAAAUAGAGUGUUUCAAGCAGGCUUGUCGCCCUGAAUACUUCAGCAUGGAAUAAUAAGAUAGGACCUUGGUUCUAUUUUGUUGGUUUCUAGGACCAAGGUAAUGGUUAAUAGGGACAGUUGGGGGGCAUUCGUAUUUAACUGUCAGAGGUGAAAUUCUUAGAUUUGUUAAAGACGAACUACUGCGAAAGCAUUUGCCAAGGAUGUUUUCAUUAAUCAAGAACGACAGUAGGGGGUUUGAAGACGAUUAGAUACCGUCGUAAUCUCUACCAUAAACUAUGCCGACUAGAGAUAGGGAAUGCAUUAUCCCAAUCUUCCCUGCACCUCAUGAGAAAUCAAAGUCUCUGGGUUCUGGGGGGAGUAUGGUCGCAAGGCUGAAACUUAAAG
rnacentral:rRNA from 2 species